AAAUGAUCAGUGCAGAGGACCUCAGGGUCAGUUAGCCUGAGGGCUCAGAGCAACAGCAUCUACUGAACAUUUACCCACAAUGAGCUAAAGUCUCCUCCAUGUGUGCAUAGCUUCAUAGACUCACAAGGACAUCUUUCUCCAAUGACCAUCUGUCUUCCUCUUGCACCAAUCAAGGGGGGGAUGAAGCCAGUCGGAAGAUACCUGAAAAGGAAGCAGAGGAGCCAGAGAAGGAAGCAGACACAGGGGAGGGACUCAUUUGGAAAAGAAGAGGCAUCCCUUCACCCUCCCCUGGAGAGAAGAGAUGAGGGGUAUUUGUAAAGAGUUGGGAGGAAGACCUCAAAGUUCAAUGUGAUCUCUUACUAUACAACAGCAGCAAACGAUCAUGAAAAAUAAGUGUGAUGUGUUUGUGUCCAGUAUUCCUUCCUCCCUCCUUUCCCCACCCCUUUCCAUUUUGUUUUAUGUUUCUUUAUUAUAAUAUUUUUAAAUAGGUAAAAUGAAGACGCUAGUGUUACUUCUUUUGAAGAUAUAAAAAGUCAGAGAAAUGGGAAGGGACCAGCAUCCUACGAAAUGGCCUAGUGUAAUGGCAUUGUCUUCAGUGUAUAAUACUGGUGAUUGUUUCACUGUGGGGAAAAAAUAGCAGACUCAUAAUUUUCGUUCUCAACUUUGUAUCUUUUAAAAGUCAGCAUACUUUCUGAAAAUGUUAUUUUUUUACUUAGCAUACAAAGUAACAGGUUUGUUUAUGGCGCCCCUUGCAUAGUCUCUGUGGCCCUUCCCAAUCUGCCUGCCUUCAUCUCUCGGCCUCUCCACCCCCUUCUGCUUCUCACACUUCCUCUGCAUUUGGAUGUCACAUUCAUUCUAUUCCCCGUCACACUCCUUCCCUCCUAGCUUGCUUUUCCGUCCCCAUGAGCCUCUUUCCAGGUCCCUGGCCUCUACCCACACCCACUCCCACAUAAAUACAUGCAAAUAAAAUUUAGAAGCUAGGAUCCACAUAUGAGAAAGAACAUGUGCUAAGUGUCCUCCACUGCCUUAUUUAUAAUACUGGUUCUAGUUCUAGUUCUAGUUCUAAUACUUAUUCUAGUUCCAUCCCUUUUCCUGAAUAAAAUUCCAUCGUGUGUACGUAUUGCCACAUCUCGUUAUCCAGUCAUCUCUUGACGGGCUCUAAGCAGACCCCAUUUCCUUACUAUCGGACUUUGUUGCUACAAUUCAUCAUACCAAAACACAAGAGUUUUCCAACUGGGUGGAUUUGUGAAGAUGUUAUACAUGCUCUUCAAAGCUACCAUCCUUUUUCUUAAUGUAGUAGGAUCAUUUGAUUAGUAAAAGAAAAGGAGGGAGCUGGCAAGGUGACGCAGCAGGUAAAGUCACCAGCUGCCAAGCCUGAUGACCUGAGUUCAACCACCGGGCCCACAGAGUGGAAGGAGAAAACUGACUCUCACAAGCUGUCCUCUGACCUCCAGGCACAUACUGUGGACUCUCUCUCUCUCUCUCUCUCUCUCUCUCUCUCUCUCUCUCUCUCUCUCUCUCACACACACACACACACACACACACACACCACUCACGCAUGCACGAGUGCCAAACUGGGCUACAUAUCAAGUUUCACGACAGCCAGGGCUACAUAGGGAGAGCCUGUCAUAAAAGGAGAUGUUGACUCAAGACAUCUGUGCCCACAACCAGUUAAUUUUUCACCAAAGUUCUCCUUUUUACUUGAGCACAUUGCUAAACGACAUGUCACCGCCCCUUCUAUCCUUGGAUAUAGCCUAGUAGAGAGUGUUGGCCAGGAGUGUAUAAAGAGAAGUGAUAAAGACUACAUCCAGGCUUGACACCAACCCCCCCCUCUUUGUUUUUCCACCUGCACUUCCUCAGUUCUAAACAUCCAGAGAAGCUUCUAGAAGCCUAAGUUGCUACUCAGAGAUUAAGUUACCCAGAAGACUUAACUAACCAAUCUAAACUUUAUAAUAUGAACAGUGAACUUUAUUUGGAAUUUUCUUAUGCAAAUUUUAAAUUUUGAAAAUUUGAAUUUCUGUCUAACUUUCUUAAAUUUGCCAAAAGCCACUUAGAUUUUUCUUUCUCUCCUAGAAAAGGAAUGUACCUAAAAUUUCCCAGGAAAAAAUGAGAAAGUUACUCCCAACUAAUUUUGACCUCUGCCAGCCAAAUUGCCAAACUGAGGAAGCUGGCAUUACUCUAAAGAUCACCAUGGGUGGAGUUCAGCUGGAAGGAGAGGGCCAAGCUCCCUGGAAGUGUGGAUGCAGAUGUCUGCUGGGUUCUCCCUCUUGUUAACCCAGGCAGCACGGAUGUGGUAAAGGCACUGGGAAUAUUCAAGUAGAAAAAAUAGUAAAUAUGGGGGCUCAGUGGUUAAGAGUACUGUCUGCUGUUCCAGAGGACCAGGGUUCAGUUCCCAGCACCCACACGGCAGCCUACAACUGUCUGUAACUUCACGUCUAGAGAACCCGACACUCUCACUCAGACCCACAUACAGGUGAAAUACAUAUGCAUAUAAAAUAAAAAUAAAUACAUGAUUUUUUUAAAUUAGUAAAUAUAAGCUAUAUGCAGGAAGCCAACAAGGAGAGUCUUCCUGUAGUACAUCAUAGGUAGAUGAGAGUGGGUAGAGACCCACAAAACAACGAAGUUUCAUAUGACAACUAUCUAAAGGACAAGAUAGAUGAAAGCAGGUGGAGAAGGAGAUGAUAAUGGAGAAAUCUCCAAGGCUCCCCUAAAAAGACUCCAAAGAAACCUAAGAUUCUGGCCAUGAUUGGGAAGGAAAUAGGAAAUAGUAACAGCAAUCUUGGACCUUCUCAGUAUCUUCUCCAUUUUAUUCGCUAUCCCCUAUGCAUCUUUGUCCUUGGCUUCCUUAUCAUGUCACCCACCACCCCCCAUCACCAGUCCCCUUCUGAGACAACAAAUGAUUUUAAGAUUUUGCAUGGGAAGUUUGAGGGACAGCCCGCUAAACUAGACACAGAGGACAGACUGACCACUUUCUCACUCACUCACUUCCAGGCCGUGCCCCACCGUGAAGCUUCAAGGUAUGCCCCAGACAUCAGCACACAGUCACAGGCACCCUGACCUGCCACAGCUCAGCACAGACCACCCGUCAUGCCAAACCAUGUGUUUCUAUGCAGCAAUUUUGUUCAGAUAUGAAAAUCAAUAAAUCUAGCCCUCUGGGGUUUUUUUGUUUUGUUUUGUUUUUUUCUGAUUCUCUGGAAUUUGCUGCUACUGAGGAAGAUUGAGCAAUCAAUUGCUCUGAAGGGAACACCCAUUUUUCUGGGAAAAUU
ensembl:lncRNA